rnacentral:lncRNA from 1 species
UUGAGCAAUUUGCCAAGCUCCUGAAGCAGAAGAGGAUCACCCUGGGAUAUGCACAGGCUGAUGUGGGGCUUACCCUGGGGGUUCUAUUUGGGAAUAUGUUCAGCCAAACGACCAUCUGCCUCUUUGAGGCUCAACAGCUUAGCUUCAAGAACAUGUGUAAGCGGCGCGGCCCUUGCUGCAGAAGUGGGUGGAGGAAGCCGACAACAAUGAAAAUAUUCAGGAGAUAUGCAAAGCCGAAACCCUCGUGCAGGCCUGAAAGAGAAAGCGAACCAGUAUUGAGAACCUGGAGAAUGUGUUCCUGCAGCGCCUGAAGCCCACACUGCAGCAGAUCAGUCACAUUGCCCAGCAGCUUGGGCUCUAGAAGGAUGUGAUCCGAGUGUGGUUCUGUAAUUGGCGCCAGAAGGGCAAGCAAUCAAGC